GUUACUCUGUCGGAGGAACCUGAUAAAGUUAAACGGCUUUUAACUAAAUCUGGAUCCUUCUCGGUUAAGUCUCUUUAUCAUUACCUUAUAGCUAGAGUUGUUGCUUUUCCUUUUAAACUUCUUUGGAGGUUGAGAAUACCUUUAAAAGUAAAACCGUUUAUAUGGUUAGUGAUCAAAGGGAGGAUCCUAGCAAAGGAUAACUUAUCUAGACGAGGGUGGAAAGGACCAAAUUUUUGCGAGUUUUGCGGUGUCUCUAAGAGCAUUGAUCAUCUAUUCUUUUCAUGCUCUUUUGCUAGGUUUUUAUGGAACGUGAUAUGUGGUACACUAGGUAACCCGAAAUUACCUUUAUCUUUCUUUGAUCUUUGUCAAAACUGGAUACCAUCCUAUUCUGAAAAUGAUAGGGUUGUUGUUUCUACUGGUGUUGCUGCUUUGAUAUAG
rnacentral:rRNA from 1 species